rnacentral:rRNA from 1 species
CCUACGGGGGGCAGCAGUGAGGAAUAUUGGUCAAUGGGCGGAAGCCUGAACCAGCCAAGUAGCGUGCAGGAUGACGGCCCUACGGGUUGUAAACUGCUUUUAUACGGGAAUAACGCGCCUUACGUGUAGGGCUUUGCAGGUACCGCAUGAAUAAGGACCGGCUAAUUCCGUGUCAGCAGCCGCGGUAAUACGGAAGGUCCGGGCGUUAUCCGGAUUUAUUGGGGUUAAAGGGAGCGUAGGCCGCAUGUCAAGCGUGCCGUGAAAUGUCCGGGCUCAACCCGGGCCUUGCAGCGCGAACUGGCUGGCUGGAGGCCGCGGAAGGCAGGCGGAAUUCGUGGGGUAGCGGUGAAAUGCUUAGAUAUGACGAAGAACCCCGAUUGCGAAGG